GUCCGGCGAGCUCGGUUGUUAAGAGCAUGGGACUCCUAAUCCCAGGGUCGUGGGUUCGAGCCCCACGUUGGGCG